CAAAUAUAGUUGUAGAAAUGUUACUGAAUACCCAUGUCUGUUUGGUUGCUGCUCUCCAAACCAACUCUAGAGAGCCUGGUGAAAAGGAAAAGGAUUUAUUCAAAGCUAGCUCUGAGGAGAUGGCCUCUUAUCACCACGAACCACCAAUUUACCAUGUCCAGGGGCUUGCAGCUAACACUGUGCCUUAAAUCUCAGAGGAGACUUUGGACUUAGACUUUUCAGCAACACUGAAACUGUUAGGAAUUUGGCAACUCUUGGAGAUGGACUAGAUGCCUUUUGCAUAAAGGAAUGUGCAUGAGGCUUUGGGGGUCCAGGGGCAGAAUAUUAUGGCUUGUGU